UACAGAGGGUGCAAGCGUUGUUCGGAUUUACUGGGCGUAAAGCGUGCGUAGGCGGUAUUGAGAGUCAUAGGUGAAAUCCCAGGGCUUAACCCUGGAACUGCCCGUGAGACCUCAGUACUAGAGUGUGAGAGGGGAUGGUGGAAUUCCAAGUGUAGCGGUGAAAUGCGUAGAGAUUUGGAGGAACACCGGUGGCGAAGGCGACCAUCUGGCUCACAACUGACGCUCAGGCACGAAAGCAUGGGUAGCAAACAGG
rnacentral:rRNA from 1 species